AAGUCGUAACAAGGUCUCCGUAGGUGAACCUGCGGAGGGAUCAUUACAGAGAACAUCGCCCUCACGGGUGACUCUCCAACCCUAUGUUAUACAACCUUUGUUGCUUUGGCGAGCCGCCUCGGCCGCUGGCUUCGGCUAGCGAGUGCUCGCCAGAGGACCUAAACUCUGAAUAUUAAUGUCGUCUGAGUACUAUAUAAUAGUUAAAACUUUCAACAACGGAUCUCUUGGUUCUG
rnacentral:misc_RNA from 1 species